rnacentral:rRNA from 1 species
UACGGAGGGGGCCAGCGUUGUUCGGAAUCAUUGGGCGUAAAGGGCGCGUAGGCGGCUUUGUAAGUCCGUUGUGAAAUCCCUCGGCUCAACCGAGGAACUGCGACGGAUACUGCUUGGCUUGAGUCCCGGAGAGGGUAGCGGAAUUCCCAGUGUAGCGGUGAAAUGCGUAGAUAUUGGGAGGAACAUCGGUGGCGAAGGCGGCUACCUGGAACGUUUCUGACACUGAGGCUCGAAAGCGUGGGGAGCAAACAGG